GUAAAAAUCGCUCCGAAUACCUUGUGGUUAGAGCAUCCGCUUCGGAUGCGGAAGAUUGUGGGUUCGAUCCCCGGCUGAGUCA